rnacentral:rRNA from 1 species
UACGUAGGUGGCGAGCGUUAUCCGGAAUUAUUGGGCGUAAAGAGCGCGCAGGUGGUUGAUUAAGUCUGAUGUGAAAGCCCACGGCUUAACCGUGGAGGGUCAUUGGAAACUGGUCGACUUGAGUGCAGAAGAGGGAAGUGGAAUUCCAUGUGUAGCGGUGAAAUGCGUAGAGAUAUGGAGGAACACCAGUGGCGAAGGCGGGUAACUGGACUGCAACUGACGCUGAGGCGCGAAAGUGUGGGGAGCAAACAGGAUUAGAUA